GCAGGAGUGCUGGAAUUGGCAGACAGGCUAGACUAAGGAUCUAGUGGUGGCAACGCCGUGUGGGUUCAAGUCCCAUCUCCUGCA
rnacentral:tRNA from 1 species